rnacentral:lncRNA from 1 species
UGGCAUCAGAUUUGCCUCUAUGUUCUGUAUCAAGCUUUUUAGUGCGUGCAAGUAAAUGAAAGACAAAAUAUAAGUCCGUAAAAUUUUCAGAAACGAACAAAUGUACGAAAAGCCCAUGUGAGAGGUUCAGGCAUUAUAAAUGAAAAAACAAAACAAAACAAAGAAAAAGAACCAUUACACGAGAGAUACACUAAAAAUAAUGAACUUGUGAAGAAAGAGAGAGAGAAAAAAAAAAAAGGAGUUAAAUCUGUGUUUCAAACAAUAAU